AACUGGUUGCAUUCACAUAAGUUUGUCAUACGGACAGCCAUGUGCGUGCGCACGUAUGUAUGCAUGACCACGGCCCCUUCUCAACAACAGUCCGCUGCCCGCUCUUGCCGGACCUGCCCUCUGCCCAUGGAGAUUGCGCGCAUUCACCCUGCGGCGGCUAAUUAAAAACGCGCCAAGACCGAGGGUUGGGUUGGGUGAGGAGCACCGAAAUGUUUGAGCUUGUGCUUGAGUUAACUGUGAUAUAAAAUAUUGCCUUCGCUUUUACAUUUCUUGCGUUCAAACAAUUUACAAAUUAAUAUGAUAUGUGAGCUUCUUUUAAAUAAAUAUCUGAU